CUGAAAAAAAUAAAAAAUACAGCCUCUCUCUUCGUCGUCGUCUCGUGUUGUCUUUUUCUUCUGCGGAAGAACAAACUUCGUGUUUCUCUCUUCUCUUCUGCAACCAUUUCCGUACAAAUGAAGGAAUACUCCGGAAAACCCUAAUUUUAGAAAGGCGUAGAAAUUUCCGGUUUGCAGUUUGAAUUCCGAUGGAAAUGUGCGAAACUUUGCUGCUGAUUAUGUCACCCUUCUGGACGUAGAAUCGUGCUGUGAACAACGUUGGCAUUCAAUUUGAGCUUCAAAAAUCUCCUGUUCUUUCUGGGUCUCUGAACUUUCUCGGAAAGUUUGAUUCUUUAAGGUCAAUUUUCUUGCUCUUCUGUUC